rnacentral:rRNA from 1 species
UGCUCCGGGGAUUAGUGGCGAACGGGUGAGUAACACGUGAGUAACCUGCCCUUAACUCUGGGAUAAGCCUGGGAAACUGGGUCUAAUACCGGAUAUGACUCCUCAUCGCAUGGUGGGGGGUGGAAAGCUUUAUUGUGGUUUUGGAUGGACUCGCGGCCUAUCAGCUUGUUGGUGAGGUAAUGGCUUACCAAGGCGACGACGGGUAGCCGGCCUGAGAGGGUGACCGGCCACACUGGGACUGAGACACGGCCCAGACUCCUACGGGAGGCAGCAGUGGGGAAUAUUGCACAAUGGGCGCAAGCCUGAUGCAGCGACGCCGCGUGAGGGAUGACGGCCUUCGGGUUGUAAACCUCUUUCAGUAGGGAAGAAGCGAAAGUGACGGUACCUGCAGAAGAAGCGCCGGCUAACUACGUGCCAGCAGCCGCGGUAAUACGUAGGGCGCAAGCGUUAUCCGGAAUUAUUGGGCGUAAAGAGCUCGUAGGCGGUUUGUCGCGUCUGCCGUGAAAGUCCGGGGCUCAACUCCGGAUCUGCGGUGGGUACGGGCAGACUAGAGUGAUGUAGGGGAGACUGGAAUUCCUGGUGUAGCGGUGAAAUGCGCAGAUAUCAGGAGGAACACCGAUGGCGAAGGCAGGUCUCUGGGCAUUAACUGACGCUGAGGAGCGAAAGCAUGGGGAGCGAACAGGAUUAGAUACCCUGGUAGUCCAUGCCGUAAACGUUGGGCACUAGGUGUGGGGGACAUUCCACGUUUUCCGCGCCGUAGCUAACGCAUUAAGUGCCCCGCCUGGGGAGUACGGCCGCAA